AUGCCGAGCAAGCCAAGCAGCGCCAUGGCAGUGGCCGCGGCCUCUCCGGCGGGUGGCGGCGGAGUCGCACGCCUGGAAGCCCUGGCCAUGGACAAGGUGGCGGAGGCGGCCGACGCAGUCGCCAUAGCGUCGAGCGCCGGCGAGGUUGUCCGCGCGAUCCACGCUGUUGCUGUCCUCCUCUUCCCUGUGGACUCCGCCACUGUCGCUGGCACCUUGGACGAGCCCAUCAAAAGCCAGAUUAUCAGUGUUCUGAGCCUCAGCCAUGACGAAAGGGAGUCUUGGAGGCGUGCUUUUUAUCAUGGUCCAGCAUUUCCUACCAUGUCUAAGAUAUUACUUGGCAAUAUUGCUUUGAAGUGGCUACGGCAGAUUCACAACACUGUGAGGAAGGAAGUCUAUGAUUCCUUUUUUGUCAGAGGACCUCCUACUGAAGUGAUUCAGGCUCUUGUUCCAGCUUUAUCUCAAAAUGAAAACUCUAAGGAGGAUCAUAACAUUUUUUGUUUGAACAUUGAAAGGCUAUUAAUAUUAUGCUUGCUUGAGAAUAAGGGGGUGGGCCAGAUUGUUGCAGAGUUUAUGUUUCUCAAUAAGCAUAAUGAUGGCGUUCUCAACCCAGAUAGAACAACUUUCAUCUCAAGGCUUGCACAACUACUUGCAUCUGUUCCAGAUAAAGCAAGAAUGGGAGCCUCAUCUGCACUUACAGCGUCGUCAUUCUUCAAGAGUGUUGUCAGCCAACUUCUUGUUCGAGCGGAAGAAGCAGCUAUCGAGUCGUCUGCUAACAAAGAGUUUAACGAACAGGAUGCACUAAGUUCUGUGUUGCUCUUUGUGGGUGAAGUGUUAUCCCGUGUUAGCCGUCGUGGAUCUACUGGCAUUUUAGUUGCUGAAUUGAUCCCUAUGAUCCGUAAUCACUUACAAAGAUGUGUAGCACCAGACUGUAAGACGAUAAUUCCUGACAUGAUCAAGCAUGUUCCUCAGUCUCGGUUUUGGUUCACUGUGAUUGAAGCAUUGAGAGAUCAGCAUUCUAUUGAAAGAUUGACUGAAGAGAUGUUGCGCCAACUUGCAUCACACCAUUUAAAUGAUGAAGAAGCGUACUGGAUUUUGUGGACUCUGUUUAAUCAGAGUAUCAUGCAUAUUGCUGUUAUGAGGGCAAUGUUUAUUGACAAAUUUUUGCUUUGGAAAACAUUUCCAUUAUGCUGCCUGAGAUGGAUUCUUCAUUAUGCUGUCUUUGAAUUCCCACCAAAUUCAGUCGCAGAAGCCCAAAUGCGAAGGACAUCAAACUUCCUGGUUACAUUGCAAUGUUUAGUUACUGUUUGGUCCAAGAAAGAGUUUGUUCAGUCAUAUUCAGUGGAGCAACAAGCUUAUAUCACUGCAGCAAUAGGGUUAUGUUUGGAGAACAUGUCAAAAGAAGAAUUAGAAAUGAAUAGAGAUGUAUUAAAUUGUAUUCUUCAAGGAGUAAGCUGUAGGUUAGAGAGCCCAAUUGAUUUAGUCCGGAAAAUGGCAAGUGCUGUUGCAUUGACAUUUUCUAAAGUCGUUGAUCCAAAAAAUCCUCUUUACCUUGAUGAUGACUGUUCUGAGAAUGUUGACUGGGAGUUCGGGGUUCUCUCUCCAAAGGAGAUCACAGCUCCUUCACAUGAUGUAGAAUUUGGAAGCAAAUCAAAACCAUGUCCACGUAAGAACAGGAAACAUGCUGGUGACAAAAAGGGAAAGACUAUCAAGCAUGAUAUUUCAGAUAACAGAGUAAAAAUCAUAGAGAUCAAGUCAAAACUAGAUUCUGAUGAAAUGUCUGGCGCUGCUAUAAAUUUUGAGGAACAUUAUGACGAGGAAAGCAUUAACAUUGAUGCUUCCAGUGAUUCAUCCCUGGAGCCGUAUGAUCUGUCAGAUGAUGACACUGAUUUGCAGAAGAAUUUCACACAUCUAAGUGAUCUUGCAGCUGCACUGCGAAAACCUGACGAUCUAGAUGGUGUUGAAAGCGCUCUUAGUUCUGCCGAAAAGCUUGUGAGGGCAUCACCUGAUGAGCUGCGCCACUGCUCGGGUGAUCUUGUUCAAGCACUGGUACAUGUUCGUUGUUCUGAUGUCGCGAUGGAAGGCGAGGAAGAUUCUGCUGAAGAAAAGCGACAGAAGGCAUUAGUCGCUUUGCUGGUAACCAGCCCAUUUGAAUCAUUAGAUGUUCUUACCAAAUUGCUAUAUUCAUCGAGUGUGGAUAUAAGUCAGCGUAUUUUAGUUAUUGAUGUUAUGACUGAGGCAGCACAGGAACUUGCUGAAACUAAAAUUGUAAAGAGUGAACAGCGGCAUGGGAACUUGAUAUCUGAUACUUCUCCGUCUUGGCUGGUUCCUAGGGAGAGCGGACCUGUUGGGGCAAGCCCUUGGAGAGAGGUAUCAGAAACAGGAUCACUUUUGAAAAAUUGGUCACACCGGUAUGAAAGAGAAGUUCCAUCUAGACCAGGCCAGGUUAAAUCAGGAAAAUCUCGCAAAUGGGGUCUUGGGAAAGCAAAAGAUUCGCAGGUGGAGCGGUCAAAAAACAGAUUUCCUUUGUAUGCUGCUGCAUUUAUGCUCCCGGUUAUGGAAGGAUAUGACAAGAGAAGACAUGGGGUGGACUUGCUCAAUCGGGAUUUUGUUGUCCUAGGUAAAUUGAUAUACAUGCUUGGUGUCUGUAUGAAGUGCAUGGCAAUGCAUCCGGAAGCAUCAGCCAUUGCCCCAGCUUUUCUGGAUAUGAUAAGAGCCAGGGAGGUCUCGCAACAUGCUGAAGCAUAUGUGCGAAGGUCUGUGUUGUUUGCAGCUUCUUGUGUAUUGAUAGCCUUGCACCCGUCAUAUGUUGCAUCAGUUCUUAUAGAAGGCAACCAGGACAUUUCUACUGGUUUAGAAUGGAUACGUACAUGGGCCUUGCGUAUUGCUGAAGCUGAUCCUGAUACAGAGUGCACAUCGAUGGCCAUGAACUGCCUGCGGCUCCAUUCAGAGAUGGUGCUCCAGACAUCCCGCGCCCUGGAAUCUGCAGAACAUUCCAAGGCUGGCACCAGGGCACUACCUUCUAAGCCCGAUAACAUUAUAAUACCAUUCGCAAACAUGAUGUGA
rnacentral:rRNA from 1 species